rnacentral:rRNA from 1 species
AAUGAAUUCACGCUAUCUAUCAGUCGACGCUUUGUGGUUCACUGAUUUGAAGAGCUUGCUCAGAUAUGACGAUGGACAUUGCAAAGAGUGGCGAACGGGUGAGUAACACGUGGGAAACCUACCUCUUAGCAGGGGAUAACAUUUGGAAACAGAUGCUAAUACCGUAUAACAAUGACAACCGCAUGGUUGUUAUUUAAAAGAUGGUUCUGCUAUCACUAAGAGAUGGUCCCGCGGUGCAUUAGCUAGUUGGUAAGGUAAUGGCUUACCAAGGCGAUGAUGCAUAGCCGAGUUGAGAGACUGAUCGGCCACAAUGGGACUGAGACACGGCCCAUACUCCUACGGGAGGCAGCAGUAGGGAAUCUUCCACAAUGGGCGAAAGCCUGAUGGAGCAACGCCGCGUGUGUGAUGAAGGGUUUCGGCUCGUAAAACACUGUUGUAAGAGAAGAAUGACAUUGAGAGUAACUGUUCAAUGUGUGACGGUAUCUUACCAGAAAGGAACGGCUAAAUACGUGCCAGCAGCCGCGGUAAUACGUAUGUUCCAAGCGUUAUCCGGAUUUAUUGGGCGUAAAGCGAGCGCAGACGGUUAUUUAAGUCUGAAGUGAAAGCCCUCAGCUCAACUGAGGAAUUGCUUUGGAAACUGGAUGACUUGAGUGCAGUAGAGGAAAGUGGAACUCCAUGUGUAGCGGUGAAAUGCGUAGAUAUAUGGAAGAACACCAGUGGCGAAGGCGGCUUUCUGGACUGUAACUGACGUUGAGGCUCGAAAGUGUGGGUAGCAAACAGGAUUAGAUACCCUGGUAGUCCACACCGUAAACGAUGAGUGCUAGGUGUUUGAGGGUUUCCGCCCUUAAGUGCCGCAGCUAACGCAUUAAGCACUCCGCCUGGGGGAGUACGACCGCAAGGUUGAAACUCAAAGGAAUUGACUGGGACCCGCACAAGCGGUGGAGCAUGUGGUUUAAUUCGAAGCAACGCGAAGAAACCUUACCAAGGUCUUUGACAUCCCUUGACAAACUCCCAGAAGAAUGGGAGCGUUCCCUUCGGGAACAAGGUGAACAGGUGGGUGCAUGGAUUGUCGUCAGCUCGUGUCGUGAAGAAUGUUUCG